AAAAAAAAGCUACGUACAUGAAUCUUAUCCUAUAUACUUAAGAAGUUCAUCCACACUACUCUAUUUAUCUUCACACGCAGCCUAUCCACAUCAUCAAGUGACCCCAUAUGUGAAAACAUCCCCACUAGCUCAUGAAGUCUGCCACGUCAUCACAAUCCUCCUUGGUUUUUUUUCUCUAUGGUAUAGCCACCCCAAGGCCCACGAACUGGAAUUCGGAAGCAGGACCAGUGGCCUCCUCCGCUUCCCCUCCCUGUAUUGCCAGCAAAACAAGAUUCUGACAUCCCUCAAAAAAAAUUCUAACAGAACAUACGAGGAGAAUAAGAAUAAGACGGAGAAGAAUAAGAAUUGUGUCGCAUCUUAUUCUUUCGCUGGCUUCCACCCCGUCUUCUCCCCUUCAGUUCUCAAUCCGCGAAUUCAUCUCCCUCUUCAUCUUCUUCAAUCUCCCUCAAAUCCCACUACUUCCUUCUCGCGCUGGGGUAAGUGAUGGCCAGAGGAGUUCCUAACGACGAGAUCCCCCGACGGCUGUCCCCGUCCUGCCUCCGGCUUCCCCGGCAGAGCGCCUUGCGAAGGAUGCCGCAGCGUCGACAUCGGCCCCGGUGACUCUCGGUGAUUACCUUGCUGCCGCCGGUCGGGUGCCGCGGCAAAUGGUCGGGAAGGCUUCUCGUGGCAGCGGCGAACCUUGCUCGGUGUCGCGCGUCUCAUGCGUCCGCCGCUCAUCUUCCCCACCCCGAAGCAGGCGACGGCGAAUCAGCUGAGUGAGGCCCGUGGUGGCGUUCCUGUCCCGUGUGCAUGGAUCCCAUUGUCGGACCAUUUGUUAUCGUUCUAUGAAUUCAGGUAGAUGCCUUCACAAGGAUGGCGUGGAUGCCAAGGAGAGCAUUAAUCUUUCUUAGCCCGAAUUGCUAGGUGAUUUCCCUCUAGACAUAGCGAUGGAAUAAGCACUUCAGCAGUCGCUAGCUUUUCGGCACCGCUGCGGCAAGAUCACUAGCCAUGAGGCUCCUCCGUGAGUUCAGUUCAUUCUCUCUUCAAUUCCUUCAUCAGAGUAUAGAACAUAAGUCCAUUUCCUAAUGAAUUUAUUCUCCUAUUCCUAUUA